rnacentral:lncRNA from 1 species
CAUCAAGAAGCCCUUUUUUGAAGUUGCUCUCCAAACGAGAGAAUCCGCCCUAUUUUUCUCUGCGACUCUCAAUCCUCGUAGGUACUAAUCUAAUCAUGUUAUUAUUGUUUUUUUUUUCCAACCCCCAUUUGAUUCCCAAGAAAAUCCAUCCCCCAUUCGAUUUCCGGGAAAAUUCAUCAUCUUUUGAUUUCCGAGAAAAUCCAUGCAAAACCCCCAAGGAAAACCAAAAAAAUUGCUUUUUUUUUUUGCUCCCUGUGUUUUCUCUUUGCAAAACUCCUAUUUGAUUCCCAAGAAAAUCUAUCCCCCAUUCAAUUUCCGAGAAAAUUCAUUCUCGUUUUAUUUAUGAGAAAAUCCAUGCAAAACCCCCAAGGAAAACCAAAAAAAUUGCUUUUUUUUUUUUUUGCUCCUUGUGUCUUCUCUUUGCAAAACCCUCCCGUUUGAUUCCCAAGAAAUUCCAUCCCCCAUUCGAUUUCCGAGAAAAUCCAUGCAAAAAUCCCAAGGAAAACCAAAAAAAAUUGUUGCUUCCUAUGUUUUCUGGAUUUGUUCUAGGGGUUUCUUUGCUUUUGUGUCAUUGGAUUUAAAUUUCACGAACCCUAAUUCCAUGAUUUUUGAGCCAGGCUUAAAAACACAACCUUUGUCUGCAAAUCAUGAUCAAAUUACCAAAUAGCAUCUUAUGUUUUUUUUAACAAAAAAAAAAAAAAAAAUGGAUAUAUUUUGUGUCCUAUGCUCAGGUUGGACUGGUAGGAAAUAUCGGGAAAUUUCUCAAAAAAUCGGUAAAAAUACUGAUAAAUACAUGCUUGUUGGGUUUUAAAUAAAAUGGGUUCUUCUUCCCUAGGCACUUAAUUUUGUGGCUUUGAAUGGGUCUUUGCCUCUUCCAUUCGAUUAAAUGAAGGUGUGGAAGUGGUAAUAUUUCAUCUUUUUAUUUGUUCUUGUUAGUUAAAUUCUAAUAAUCUAUUUUCCUCUUUUGGUCAUGUAGAACAUCAUUGAAUCAAGAUUACGUUGACUUUGGUUUCACCUACAUUAAACUUGAGAUCAGAAACCUCAAAUUUUCCCCAUAUUAGAUCUUUAAUUACUAGGUACAUUCUGGUUUGCUUUGUGAUUUAUUGAAGAAAAAGUGUGGAUUGUGUGAUGGUUGAAAAUAUUUAGUUACUGGAUUUUUUGGUUUUGAGUCUCAAAUGGACUUGUCAAGUUGUAAGCAUUUGAGAUUCUUUAGUUGCCAUUUGAAUUCUAGACAUGCAAAUGUGUUGCUCUGGUGAUUAGAGCUGUUUUGCUCCCCACAUUCUUUGGCUUUGGUGGGGUUGUUCAGAACAUCUUUUUGGUGAUCAACAAUAGUUCAUUGUCCUCAAAUUCCAAGCUCCAAAUGUGGAAAGACAAGUUCUUGGAGGUUCCUUAGAUUUCAUAAGGAUAAGUGUUUUUUGUAUAGAAAAAUAAUUAAAAAAAAAAACCUUAAAUGAGCAGUUUUAGAUGAAACCAGGUAUAGUUUGCAUUUACAUAAAUUUGGAGUUGUUUUAGUUCUUGCUAAAUUUGUUCAUUUAUUUUUCCUAUCCUCAUUUAAUAUGAUGUCAUAUUUAUUUUUUUUCAUGUACCUUUUUGUAGAGCUUGGUAAAUUAUAGCUAGUUGUGUUGUCAUUUUUUGUUGGUCUUUCUAAGCAACCAAAUGAAGCAUUUGUGCAUGAUUUGUAGGCUAUCUUUGACUUGUAUAGUUUAAUGGAAACCUUGGAUAUUUCAAGGAAAGUGUUAGGUUAAAAAAUCAUAAUAAUGAUCUAAAUAGUUAAAUAUCUUGGUUGAGGUUGGAUUAAAACAAUAACUUCAUUAGGUUAAAAUGAUUUUUGUUGUAGGUUUUGCUCCUAGGUUUAGCCUCCAUAUGUUUUUGCUAUAUCAAUAUUUUAAUAUUUGAGAGUUGGUUUGUUUACUUGUGUUAUUAAGAAAUAAUCUAUUAUUGUCUAAUAAAGGUGUAGUGGCUAGCUUGCUAUUAAAAUUCUUCAUAAAGCUUGAUAUUUGAUUGCUCCUCAUUAUACAUUUUUCUUUUUAAUUUGUUAAUAUGCUCUAUAUUUUUUGCUACAGAUUCGAAGUUUGGGUGUUGGAAACUUAAGGCUUUCCUAUAAAGUAAUGCUUUAAGAUGGAGGCAAGAGACUUAGUUAAAGAUAUAUAAAUGAGCAACUUAAUUCAAGUUUAUGUAUAUUGUCUUAUAGUGUGUUUUUAAUUUCGUUGUAUAUUAUAUGAGUUUCUUCUAUAUAGAGAAACUGGGGACAACUUUAAAC